UACAUAUCUCUUUCUGCGGAGUUGAAUUCGUGAAUCACGGAAUCGAAGAAGCGAAAACGCUUUAGGGCAGACAAAUGAUGCGGCGAUUGCUUCCGAUUAAGAAGUUACUCGGCUCCACGACCGGCUUCCGUUUGGCAUCGACGAAAAGCUCGGGCACAGAGCGCCUAGAGAGGCUCGUGGAGGAGGUGAAUGGCAUAAAGUCGAAGCUGAAAGUUCUGGAAGAGAGCAAAGCUGCAAACGGAUUGGUUGACCUUUACGCCUCUCGCAAAAUGAAAAGGCUGGACAUUAAGCGUAUCCUGAGUAUCUUCAACGAUAGGGCGUACCACGCGCCAAUAUUCUGCCACAAGGCGCUUCCAAUUAUUUUGGCGCACUUCAUUACCGGACUUGACAAACUUCCUUCUGGCCUCAACGCCAUGCCGUCGAUUUUGGCCGUUCGUGCAACGCUUCUCCGCUCGUUUCAGAAGCUCAUCAACUGCAAAAUCCCUGCCACCGACGACCAAGUGCAGCACUUUCGCAGAGUGUUGGAGGACAUUGACGAGGAGCACGCAGAGCGCGACCUGCUGCAAACCAUGGCAUUUGGAAUCCUGGAGCUGAAGGAGUACGUUUCAUCUCAUCGGCGAGCACUGGUGGAUCUUAAGAAGACAUCCGAGCGGUGGGCCAGCAUCCCCAUGACGGAGGAGAACGUGCUCACCUACGCAGAGAUCCAAGACAUCCAAGCCCCACUGGACUCUGUGAAUCGUUGUAUGAUCACGUACAACUUCAUCUCUCGCAUGUUCCUCAACCACGACCCGGAUAUGACUAUGGGCAGCAAUCCCAGACGCAUCGGGAUGGUUGAUCUUGAGAUGAAUCUUGAGCACGUAGUUCGCAACGCUGUUGACGAGGCGAAGCAGAUUUGCACGGAUCACUACGGCGACUGCCCAGACACCGAGUUUGAGUUCACCUCAGACUCCAAGGCUUUCCGAUUCCCCUACAUGAGCACAACUAUCCGGUACAUUAUACUGGAACUGAUGAAGAACGCGUUUCGUGCGACAGUGGACUCACACAUGAAGCGCAACGACGUUGGGAUGGUUACGUGCGCUGAUAUGCCGCCUGUUCGCGUUUUGAUCAACCUACAAGAAGGGACGGAGCAUGCGUGCAUCUGUAUCUCGGAUGAAGGCAUGGGCAUGACGGACGAAGCACUUGCCAUGGCAAUGGCGUACUCAUACACGUCAGUCAGCAAACCAGCUCUGCAGCUUGGUGACUCGGGCGAGGGGUGUGCAUCCACGGCGCCAUCGCCGCUGGCUGGCUACGGGUACGGGCUUCCGAUGUCGCGCGUGUACGCACAGUCGCUUGGUGGCGACCUUUUCUUGCAGACCAUGGAGGGCUACGGUACGCGCGCCUACUAUUAUAUCAAGAUAGCGGAUGCACAACCCUUAUGCGACGAGGAAACCAAGUAGUUCGCUGAAGGCGCAAGGCGAAACUCAUCCAUCACAACGCCGCUUCGUGUCCUUGAUUCGUUCUCUGGCCCCUCGUCCUGUUGUGCGUACAAG
rnacentral:misc_RNA from 1 species